rnacentral:rRNA from 1 species
GACGAAGGAUGCAAACGUUAUCCGGAUUCAUUGGGUUUAAAGGGAGCGUAGGUGGCCUUAUAAGUCAGUGGUGAAAUCCUGUUGCUUAACAACAGAAUUGCCAUUGAUACUGUAGGGCUUGAGUACAGAUGCCGUUGGCGGAAUAUGACAUGUAGUGGUGAAAUACAUAGAGAUGUCAUAGAACACCGAUUGCGAAGGCAGCUGACGAAACUGUAACUGACACUGAGGCUCGAAAGUGCGGGGAUCAAACAGG